rnacentral:rRNA from 1 species
UACGGAGGGAGCUAGCGUUGUCCGGAAUUACUGGGCGUAAAGCGCACGUAGGCGGCUUUGCAAGUUAGAGGUGAAAGCCCGGGGCUCAACUCCGGAAUUGCCUUUAAAACUGCAUCGCUAGAGUUGUGGAGAGGUAAGUGGAAUUCCGGAGUGUAGAGGUGAAAUUCGUAGAUAUUCGGAAGAACACCAGUGGCGAAGGCGACUUACUGGACACAUACUGACGCUGAGGUGCGAAAGCGUGGGGAGCAAACAGG